GAUGAACGCUGGCGGUAUGCUUAACACAUGCAAGUCGAACGGACUCUUCGGACUUAGUGGCGGACGGGUGAGUAACGCGUGAGAAUCUGGCUUUGGGUUCGGGACAACCACUUGAAACGGUGGCUCAUACCGGAUGUGCCGAUAGGGAAAAGAGACAUUGCCUGAAGAUGAGCUCGCGUCUGAUUAGCUAGUUGGUGAGGGAAAGGCCCACCAAGGCAGCGGUGAGUAGCUGGUCUGAGGGGAAGAGCCGCCACACUGGGACUGAGACACCGCAGAGACUCAUGCGGGAGAGAGGAGUGGAGAAUUGUACGAUAGGCGCGAGAGUCUGGCGGCGCAGUACCGCGUGAGAGAAGAAGGCUCGUGGGUUGUAAACCUCUUGUCUUAGAGGAGAACAGAGUGACGGUAACUAAUGAAGAAGCACCGGCUAACUCCGUG
rnacentral:rRNA from 1 species